UUACGUGCACGGGCGACGGUCAUCUUAUCAUCUUCACUAAGCUCAUCCAUACCCAAAAUGGCAAUAAUAUCUUGAAGAUUCUUGUAGUUUUGAAGAACCUUCUGUACCCCACGAGCGGUAUUGUAAUGAUCUUCUCCCAAAAUGUGAGGUGAGAGCAUACGAGACGUAGAAUCAAGUGGAUCAACAGCAGGAUAAAUACCGAGUUCAGAAAUCUGGUAUGCAAUGUACAUGAAGUCAAAAAAUUUUAACUAAACUUUUCUACGGGUGAAAUAAAGUUAUAGUCCAAUUUAAGAUAUGACAUCAUACUUGACGGGACAACACAGUUGUGGCAUCCAAGUGAGCAAAUGUAGUUGCAGGGGCAGGAUCUGUCAAGUCAUCAGCAGGCACAUAGAUAGCCUGGACAGAUGUAAUAGAACCCUUCUUGGUUGUAGUGAUACGCUCUUGAAGACCUCCAAGAUCUGUAGCCAAUGUUGGUUGAUAACCGACAGCAGAUGGGAUACGACCAAGCAAAGCAGAGACCUCUGAGUUAGCCUAUUGAUAUAAAAGCAAGUUAGUUAGCAAGGGUAGAAUUGAAUAAAAAUACGAUAACUUCAGCAAUCAUAGGCAAGAAAACCUGGGUAAAUCUGAAAAUGUUGUCAAUAAAGAGAAGCACAUCCUGCCCCUCGGCAUCUCGGAAGUGCUCAGCCACAGUCAAUCCUGUAAGGCCAACACGGGCACGAGCACCAGGGGGCUCAUUCAUUUGACCGUAUACAAGAGCGCACUUGCUUUCAGCCUAAUCAAGCCAAUAAGACAAUGUCAACAACAUGGGAUAACACUGUGGACUAAAAGGGGAUAUAGGACACCUACUUGUUUGUCACCAAGCUUAAUAACACCACUUUCAAUCAUUUCUCUGUACAAAUCGUUGCCCUCGCGAGUUCGUUCACCAACACCAGCAAAGACAGAGAAACCACCUGAAAAGAAUUAGCCCUCAUUCAGAUAAGUUUCACACUCACUUCUAGUUGAAAUAAUGAGAAGAUAACUCUGAAGCAGCACUAACCAUGUGCCUUUGCAACGUUGUUAAUCAGUUCCAUAAUAAGCACGGUCUUUCCCACACCAGCACCACCAAAAAGCCCAAUCUUUCCUCCCCUUUGGUAAGGGGCAAGAAGAUCAACAACCUGAUCAGAAGUAAAGCAGCCAUAAUGAAGUUGCCUUGUCAUAAUAUCGAAUAAAAGUUGCACUUCAGGAACCAAUAUAUGCACAGAUAGGGAGAUCUAUACGAGCACAUUGAAUAAAAUUCGCUGGUUCGCAUACCUUGAUACCAGUAACAAGAAUUUGUUGUUCAGUUGCUUGCUCAACAAAGGCAGGAGCUUCGCGAUGAAUUGGCAAAAAGUGAUCGGUUUCUGCAGCAAUUUUUAGAGAAAAAGAUGCAACUUUGAGAACUGUUCAAAUGGUCCAAAUAAAACAAGGGACAAAGCAUUUAGGACUUACUAAUGUCGCCUCUCUCAUCAAUAGGCUCUCCAAUCACAUUCAUAAUACGGCCAAGGGUGGACCUACCGACAGGGACCUGCCAUCACAAGGAAACCAUCAUUUCAGCGCAAACAAGCAGCAAGUGAAUGGCAAAUGGAUCUGCAACCCCCAUUCCCAGUGAAAGAAGGAUAACAACUGAGAGAAAACAUCAACUACUACAAGUCAACAAAAAUUAGUAGGGUCAGCUAUAUAAAUUCUCAAAUAUCCAUUUUGACAAGUUUCAGUCCACUACUCAAUUAUUUUUCAUUUAGGGAGGAAACAGAAGAAAGACAAUAAAAAUUUUCAAGACUGAACUCACACACACAAAAGGCAACACGAAUAAGUAAGAAACAAUUAUGUUCCCUGUAGGGAGGGAGGGGGAAAACAAUUUGGAGACCAUCAAUGUUAGGAGGAAACCAAGUUUCAGAGCAGGAGUUUUUCAUCAUUAAAGUGGGGAGAAAAUAAGUGGAAUUAUUAAAUAUUUUUAAUAUCUGACAAACAAAAUGAAUUUCUUUCAAUAAUACAAUGGAAAAUUUGUGCAUCAAUUGAAGCAAUGAACAGUAUCCCAUUUGAUUGUGAAUAAAGAUAGCAACUCCACAAACCAAUAGAGGCCCAUUUACAGCGCCAAAGGUACUCCUUAUUUUAAAAAAACAUACAUUUUUACAAGGAAAACGAAUGUUGUCCCACACAUUAGGUUACAAAAUACCACAACCAAACAUAUGUACUACCAUUCAAGAGCAAAGAAAUGCUAUUUAUUAUAAGAUAAUUAUAAGCAAGCCUAUAUGCCAUAGACCUUGCUCUAAUGGACCAGAUAUCUAGAUCAAAAAAACAUCUCAUUAAAACAGCAUGAUAAAACCACGGAUCUUGCAGAAUUAUCAAAUACAAUCAUUUUCUAUCCACCACAUAAAAUAGAUCACUCCCACAUUGCAAAACUCCUAAAUUCUAAAACUAUUGACUACAACCUUAUACGAACAGGGAAUGCAAGUUCUGAACCAGUAAAGUUAAGAUCUUUGGAACGUACUAGACUGAAAAUAAACAAUUACAGAUUACUCACAGUGAUAGGAGACCCAGUGUUAAGGACACGUUGACCACGCACAAGACCUUCAGUACCAUCCAUAGCAAUAGUCCUAACCAUAUUCUCACCCAAAUGCUGAGCAACCUCAAGGACAAGGCGGAUCUGAUUAUCCAGAACCUCAAGAGCAGUAAGGAUCGGAGGCAAGCCUUCAUCGAAUCUCACAUCCACCACAGCACCAAUAACCUGGCACACUUUCCCGAUGGCACCAGCACCAGUGAACUCAUCGGUGAUCUUUCCGGUAGGCUCGCUACCAGUGGAUUUAGGAGGAGGUGCUGACUUAUCAGCCGGAGCAGAAGCUGAGGUAGCGUACUUGACAGCACGGUUUAAGAGGAAUCCCUUGGGGGAGGCGCGUGGAGCAGUUUUCGGGAUGGAAUUUGCCAAUGGAGAUCUGGAAAUAGCUCCACCGCGCUGGGCGGUUGAUCGGAGGAGAGAGGCCAUAAGCCUCCGAGACGCCAUGGCGUUGUUAGGGUUUGGUCUAUAGAGAGAGAAAGGUCAGGUGUAGAGAGAGAAUGCUAGGGCUGGUGAAGAUGAGUAGAGAGACUUUUUAUCUGCAGAGGUGACGAUGGCCGUAGUGUGAGUGAAUCUGACCUCUUCUAUUAUUCAAAUUUCGGGACUCAAAAUAAUUAAUUUAAUUUUAAUUAUUAAUAAAAAUAUUUAAAAAAAUAAAAUAAAUGAAUAAAAUUUAUAUAGAAAAAAUUAUCGAAAUAUAUCAUGUUGAAUUAUAUUGUAUGAUAAUAUUUUAAUGAAUACAAUAUUUGAGUAAAUGUUGUUUUUUAUCAUUGCAUAAUGUCGCAAAUUAAUAAUUUAAAUGAUAAACUUAUAAGAAAAGAGUAUAGAUUACGUAGAAUAAAUGAUAAAUAAAAGUAAAAUGAGAAAAAAAUUAAGAUAACGACACAAUCACACUAACAAAAUAGAUCUUUUUAUUUUACCUAACGAUAAUUUAAACAAUAUGAUAAAUGAAAUUUAAGUAACAAUCAAAAUAAAUAUUAUUAUUUAAACUAAUAAUAUAAUAUAUUAUAAUAGAAUACACUGGAUAACAACUAUCCAAACAAGGUGUCAUCACAAAUACUAAUUCACUCAAUAGUUUGAAAUACUUAUACAUUGUGUACUUGCUAAAAUUUCAUACGAGAUUUAAGUUUUAUACAUACAUUCAUAAGGAGUGAGGCAAGCGAGGAAGGAGAUAAACAAGAGAAUCGGUGUAUAUCAUAUACAUGUAAUUAUACUAGAUACAUAUAUAAGAUACAAAAUACAUUCUAAGUUAUAGAUACAUGGGGAAAGAUGUGAACGAGAGAGAAUAAAAACUACUAACAAAUGAGAUACGCAAACAAAAAAAAAUUAUAUUCUAGAUACACGGGAAUCAUACUUAGAUAUAGUGUAUCUGGAAUAAAUUGUACUUAUUUCAACUCACAUAUAUUUAUGAUACACGUAUUUGAGUAUGCUUAGAUACAUGUAUCCGACAAAGUAAAUGUGAUAUAAAAGAUAAUUUUGAAAACUAAAAUGAAUGUAGUAAUUAAAUCUUAAAUUAGUAGAAGUUGUGUUGUUUGUUCAUUUAUAUAUUACAUAUAUAGAUUUAGAAAUCGCGAUAAUUAUAAUUUAAAGUAUUAUAUAUAUAUAUAUAUAUAUUUAGAGCAUAUUGCUUUUAUACAUAAUUCCAAAAGGUUUAAUGUCGUAGCUCAUAAUGUAGCUAAGUUUUAAACUUCUUUGUUGUCUGAAUUUCCUUGGGAAAGACCAUUCUCAAAUUGGAUUGUGAAUAACGUUGUAUGAUUUGUUGGACAUAUUAUGUCUAUUAAGAAAUAUCAUUUCUUAAUUUACGAAUGACAUGACCUUCAAAUGAUACAUAUUGGGGAAGAAAGUGACAUAUUACAACUUGGACCUCCUAAAGGUAAGGUCAACUUGUAAGUACACACAGCUCUCCUCGAUCCCCAGCCUUUGAAAUUACACAUUGUCUAUUGUCAUCGUAAAGUACCAUACUCUUGUUUGUGCGGGAGGUAUUAGAGAUUUAAUCCAUGAAUUAUAAAGAUGAUAUUAUUUAAUACUAUAUUUAGUAUAAAUUUUAGGUUUAUGUCUAAUUAAUUCAUGAAUUAGUUAAUAUAUCUUACAUGAUAUUAGCUAAUAUCUUCUAUUUGGUGGUAUUAGCUAAUACCUUCCAUUUAAUACAUGGGAUUAGAUAAGUAAAGAUAAAAAUAUCCCUCUAACUUUUUUAUUUUCUUGAUUUUAUGUUUUAUAUUUAUAAUUCUAUACUAGUAAAUUUAUUAAUAAAUUAGCUUAUAAAUUUAUUUAUUUGUGGGGUUCGUAGUUACAUAAUAUAAAAAAAUAAUAAAUUUACUAUGUCAAAUAUUUAAGUUUUAUUUAUUUGUGAGUUCAUAUUUAGAUAAUGUAAAAAAAAAAAUUCAUGUCACUUUUUUUAUAAUUAAUUUAGUUGAGUGAUUUUAUUGAUACAAAAUAAAGUGCUAAAUAUAAUCUCAAAGUUGAGUGGUCUUGUAAGAUAUAAACACUAUAUUAAAUCUACAACUUCCAAUUUUUUAUGUGUAAGUAUAGAUUGUCUAUUUUACAAUUGUUUACUAUCUUUUCUAUAUUAAUAAUAGAUAGUCUAUCUUUAUUAAAUUAAAGAUUGAUAUUUUAUUAGUAAUAAAUUUAUUAAGAUUAUAAUUAUCUAUUUUCAAAUAAUUCAACUGAAAAAAUAACAAACAUUAUGACAUAAUUAUUAUUCUCCUAACCAGUUAGAAGUCACAAAAAAUAAUCUAUUUUGAUCUAAUUACAUAAAAUAGAAAAUCUCAUAAUAAUUCAAGAGUAUAAUUGAAAAAAAAACUUUUUUAAAAAAUUUAAAUCAAAUACAAAAUUAAAUGAAAAACAAUAAACCAAACACAGGAUAAAAAAUAGUCUCAGCAUUACUAAUCUCUAUAUUAUUCAUUUUUGUACCAAACGACCUUAACCUCUAACAUGACUAACGAAAGUGUAGGCUACGAUAACUUCAAACUUCAAAUUAUGGCCAAAAACACUCAAGUCAGGAAUGAUGAACAAAAGUGCAGUUUUGAGACUACUAUUUACUGAUUGACAUGAAAAUUGAUUCAUCUGCUGGUGCACAUACCACCAUGACAACGAAAGACUAAAGAAGAUAACAUUAUUACGACAGGCAAAAUCUAGAAAGCAGAAAGUAUUCAAGAUGAAAAUGAUGCAAAAACAACCCCUCAUAAUUUGGGCAACCAACAUUCUCAAAAUAAAGUCAAAGUAAAAUAUACAAGUUUGCCAUUUUACCCCCUUUAUUAUGCAACAUAACAGAGCGCCAAGGUUGGGUGUUUGGCAAGUAGGCCUUAGCUCCAUGUCUUCUCUAUCACAAUUCCGGAUUGCAUAUAAAAACAAAAACCAGAAAAUCUUGGACCUCUUGGUCGUCCUAGGAAAAAAUCCGAAAGUGUCACAGAAACUUAAAUUAUUUCUGUAGUUAUCGAUGAAGAUAAUGGAAGAAAGUCGCUGGAGUUAAUAAUCUAAGCUGCAGAUUCCUUGGCAAUCUUCUCUGCCUUGGCAAUGACCUCCUCAAUCCCACCGACCAUAUAGAAUGAUUGUUCUGAAAGGUCAUCGUAUUUGCCAUCCAAGACCCCCUGCAAAAGUCAAUGACAACAAAAUAAUCAGCAAAUUGGUCCCCGGAUAAGCACAACAAAGCAGGAAGUUCUAAUCUCAGAUAAACAUCACCAAAUAAUAGGAAGAGACUUCAAACCAAAUAGUAACAUUUAAUUCAUACAGCAUCACCUCAACUUGCUGAGGUGGACUACGCAAUACGAGGAAUAAUGUGUAACAAAAGGUUUAGUUUGUUUCGGUGGUAACCUAGCCAAGUAUAGGAUGCUUUAAGAUCAAAGAUUUCGUUCCGAAUUGACAUUUGUUACCUGGAAACUGCUGAUGCUCUCCUUCAAGUCAACAUAUUUUCCAGGAGCACCCGUGAAAACUUCGGCAACAUGGAAAGGCUGGCUAAGGAAUCUCUGGAUCUUACGUGCACGGGCAACUGUCAUCUUAUCAUCUUCACUAAGCUCAUCCAUACCCAAAAUGGCAAUAAUAUCUUGAAGAUUCUUGUAGUUUUGAAGAACUUUCUGCACCCCACGAGCGGUAUUGUAAUGGUCUUCUCCCAAAAUGUGAGGUGAGAGCAUACGAGAUGUAGAAUCAAGUGGAUCAACAGCAGGAUAAAUACCGAGUUCAGAA
rnacentral:lncRNA from 1 species